GACGAACGCUGGCGGCGUGCUUAACACAUGCAAGUCGAACGGAAAGGCCUUUUCGGAGGUACUCGAGUGGCGAACGGGUGAGUAACACGUGGGUGAUCUGCCCUGCACUCUGGGAUAAGCCUGGGAAACUGGGUCUAAUACCGGAUAGGACCGCACUUUAGUGUGUGUGGUGGAAAGUUUUUUCGGUGUAGGAUGAGCCCGCGGCCUAUCAGCUUGUUGGUGGGGUAAUGGCCUACCAAGGCGGCGACGGGUAGCCGGACUGAGAGGUUGGUCGGCCACAUUGGGACUGAGAGACGGUCCAGACUCCUACGGGAGGCAGCAGUGGGGAAUAUUGCACAAUGGGCGCAAGCCUGAUGCAGCGACGCCGCGUGGGGGAUGACGGCCUUCGGGUUGUAAACUCCUUUCGCCAGGGACGAAGCGUUUUGUGACGGUACCUGGAGAAGAAGCACCGGCUAACUACGUG
rnacentral:rRNA from 1 species